UGGCAGAGACUGAGAUCUGGACUUCACAGGCCACUGCUGAUAGAUCCUGGCAGCAAGUGUUCAUCCCUCUGUCCGACAUUAAUGGCAUCCAGGUGGUUUUUGAGGCAGACGUGGGACUACCUGAAGAUGGAGAAGUAACCAUUGACAAUGUGGGAGUUCGCAAAGGACCGUGUGGUGAACAGUGCACUCAGGGUGAGUUCUGGGCUGAUGACGCAUGCACAACCCAGUGCGCGUGCGCCGGACCAGAAGGUCAGCUGACCUG